rnacentral:rRNA from 1 species
ACACCGGCGGCCCGAGUGGUGAUCGUGAUUAUUGGGUCUAAAGGGUCCGUAGCCGGUUUGGUCAGUCCUCCGGGAAAUCUGACGGCUUAACCGUUAGGCUUUCGGGGGAUACUGCCAGGCUUGGAACCGGGAGAGGUAAGAGGUACUACAGGGGUAGGAGUGAAAUCUUGUAAUCCCUGUGGGACCACCUGUGGCGAAGGCGUCUUACCAGAACGGGUUCGACGGUGAGGGACGAAAGCUGGGGGCAC